AUUGAACGCUGGCGGCAGGCCUAACACAUGCAAGUCGAGCGCGCCGCGGGGGGGAGAGUAAUGUCUGGGACACUGCGUGAUGGGGGGGGAAAACUACGGGAAAGGGUAGAUAAUACCGCAAACCAUCAGAUGUGCCCAGAGGGGAUUAGUUAGUAGGUGGGGUAACGGCUCACCAAGGCUACGAUCCAUAGUUGGUCUGAGAGGAUGACCAGCCACACGGGAACUGAGACACGGCCCAGACUCCGACGGGAGGCAGCAGUGGGGAAUAUUGCACAAUGGGCGCAAGCCUGAUGCAGCCAUGCCGCGUGUAUGAAGAAGGCCUUCGGGUCGUAAAGUACUUUCAGCGGGGAGGCGUUACCCGCAGAAGAAGCACCGGCUAACUCCGUGCCAGCAGCCGCGGUAAUAC
rnacentral:rRNA from 1 species